CAUAUCUGGUGCGGGCGUUGAUACUUGAGGGGGUUUGGGAUUAGUACGAGAGGACCGUUCUGAACGAACCUCUGGUCUGCCGGCUGUCCUGCCAAGGGCAUCGCCGGGUAGCUAUGUUCGGUUCCGAUAAGCGCUGAAAGCAUAUAAGUGCGAAACGGGCCCCAAGAUUAGGUAUCGUAGAUUCCUUGCAGAUUACAAGGUUGAUAGGGCUUAGGUGUAAGCGCAGUAAUGCGUUAAGCCGAGAGCUACUAAUAAAUCAUUGUUUGCCCGC
rnacentral:ncRNA from 1 species